UUAAAUUGAAGAGUUUGAUCAUGGCUCAGAUUGAACGCUGGCGGCAGGCCUAACACAUGCAAGUCGAACGGUAACAGGAAACAGCUUGCUGUUUCGCUGACGAGUGGCGGACGGGUGAGUAAUGUCUGGGAAACUGCCUGAUGGAGGGGGAUAAC
rnacentral:rRNA from 2 species